rnacentral:rRNA from 1 species
CACGUAGGAGGCGAGCGUUGUCCGGAAUCAUUGGGCGUAAAGAGCUCGUAGGCGGCUUGUCACGUCGGGUGUGAAAGCUCGGGGCUUAACCCCGGGUCUGCAUUCGAUACGGGCUGGCUGGAGUGUGGUAGGGGAGAUCGGAAUUCCUGGUGUAGCGGUGAAAUGCGCAGAUAUCAGGAGGAACACCGGUGGCGAAGGCGGAUCUCCGGGCCAUUACUGACGCUGAGGAGCGAAAGCGUGGGGAGCGAACAGG